UUUGGGUGAUGCGGUGAUGACAAAAAUCUAUACCCAGCUCUUUGAGAUCUCUUGAAGGUCAGGGAAAACAAUAUGUUCUAUUUGUCUGAGCUUUAAA